UACAGAGGUGGCAAGCGUUGUUCGGAAUUACUGGGCGUAAAGGGCGCGUAGGCGGUUCGUUAAGUCCUGUGUGAAAUCCCCCGGCUCAACUGGGGAACUGCACAGGAAACUAGCGGGCUUGAGUUCGGGAGAGGGAAGCGGAAUUCCGGGUGUAGCGGUGAAAUGCGUAGAUAUCUGGAGGAACACCGGUGGCGAAGGCGGCAUCCUGGACCGGCAUUGACGCUGAGGCGCGAAAGCUAGGGGAGCAAACGGG
rnacentral:rRNA from 1 species